UCGAACGGCACACGGGUGCUUCACCUGGUGGCGAGUGGCGAACGGGUGAGUAAUACAUCGGAACAUGUCCUGUAGUGGGGGAUAGCCCGGCGAAAGCCGGAUUAAUACCGCAUACGAUCCACGGAUGAAAGCGGGGGACCUUCGGGCCUCGCGCUAUAGGGUUGGCCGAUGGCUGAUUAGCUAGUUGGUGGGGUAAAGGCCCACCAAGGCGACGAUCAGUAGCUGGUCUGAGAGGACGACCAGCCACACUGGGACUGAGACACGGCCCAG
rnacentral:rRNA from 1 species